UACGUAGGGUGCAAGCGUUGUCCGGAAUUAUUGGGCGUAAAGAGCUCGUAGGCGGUCUGUCAAGUCGGACGUGAAAAUCCAGGGCUCAACCCUGGACCUGCGGGCGAUACGGGCAGGCUAGAGUUCGGUAGGGGAGACUGGAAUUCCUGGUGUAGCGGUGAAAUGCGCAGAUAUCUGGAGGAACACCGGUGGCGAAGGCGGCAUCCUGGACCGAUAUUGACGCUGAUGCGCGAAAGCCAGGGGAGCAAACGGG
rnacentral:rRNA from 1 species